UGCGGAGUAGAGUAGAGGUUAACUUGCUAGGUUCAUACCCUGGAGAUCGUAGGUUCGAUUCCUGCCUCCGCAA